GAGUUUGAUCGUGGCUCAGAUUGAGCGCUGGCGGCAUGCCUUACACAUGCAAGUCGAACGGCAGCAUGAUCUAGCUUGCUAGAUUGAUGGCGAGUGGCGAACGGGUGAGUAAUACAUCGGAACGUGCCCUGUAGUGGGGGAUAACUAGUCGAAAGAUUAGCUAAUACCGCAUACGACCUGAGGGUGAAAGUGGGGGACCGCAAGGCCUCAUGCUAUAGGAGCGGCCGAUGUCUGAUUAGCUAGUUGGUGGGGUAAAGGCCCACCAAGGCGACGAUCAGUAGCUGGUCUGAGAGGACGAUCAGCCACACUGGGACUGAGACACGGCCCAGACUCCUACGGGAGGCAGCAGUGGGGAAUUUUGGACAAUGGGCGAAAGCCUGAUCCAGCAAUGCCGCGUGUGUGAAGAAGGCCUCGGUUGUAAG
rnacentral:rRNA from 1 species